GGCCGGUGACGGAGACUGCCCAGGUGUGGUCACCAUGUUCCUCUCCGCGGUCUUCUUUGCCAAGAGCAAGUCAAAGUAAGUAAAGAUUUUUCCUUUUUUAAACGUCACUUGUUUAUGUUGGAUUUGUUAGUCUAGCUGCUCCCAGUACAUCCUUAUAUGAAAUUAAGCAUUGGGCCUUGAUUUCCUAAGAGUUGGUUUGUGGAUUACUUAGUUGAUUAUUUUUUCUUUAUGAACUCUU
rnacentral:lncRNA from 1 species